rnacentral:rRNA from 1 species
UACGUAGGGGGCAAGCGUUGUCCGGAUUUAUUGGGCGUAAAGAGCGUGUAGGCGGCCUGGAAAGGUCAGCUGUGAAAACUCGAGGCUCAACCUCGAGACGUCGGUUGAAACCAUCUGGCUAGAGUCCGGAAGAGGAGUGUGGAAUUCCCGGUGUGAGCGGUGAAAUGCGCAGAUAUCGGGAAGAACACCCGUGGCGAAGGCGGCACUCUGGGACGGUACUGGACGCUGAGACGCGAAAGCGUGGGGAGCGAACGAGGGA